rnacentral:rRNA from 1 species
CCCCGGCGCCACAAGUGGUUAUCACGAUUAUUGGGCCUAAAGCGUUCGUAGCCGGUUUGGUAAAUCUCUUGUGAAAUUGUUCGGCUUAACCGGACAGCGUGCAGGAGACACUGCCAAACUCGAGACCGGGAGAGGUUAGAAGUAUUCCAUGGGGACUGGUAAAAUGGGAUAAUCCAUGGAAGACUACCGAUGGCGAAGGCAUCUAACCAGAACGGAUCUGACGGUGAGGAACGAAAGCCAGGGGAGCGAACCGG